GACGAACGCUGGCGGCGUGCUUAACACAUGCAAGUCGAACGCUGAAGCUCAGCUUUUGUUGGGUGGAUGAGUGGCGAACGGGUGAGUAACACGUGAGUAACCUGCCCCCUUCUUUGGGAUAACGCCCGGAAACGGGUGCUAAUACUGGGUAUUCACUGGUCUUCGCAUGGGGGUUGGUGGAAAGGGUUUUUCUGGUGGGGGUGGGCUCGGGGCCUAUCAGCCUGUUGGUGGGGUGAUGGCCUACCAAGGCUUUGACGGGUAGCCGGCCUGAGAGGGUGACCGGUCACAUUGGGACUGAGAUACGGCCCAGACUCCUACGGGAGGCAGCAGUGGGGAAUAUUGCACAAUGGGCGCAAGCCUGAUGCAGCGACGCCGCGUGAGGGAUGGAGGCCUUCGGGUUGUGAACCUCUUUCGCUCAUGGUCAAGCCGCAACAAUGGUUGUGGUGAGGGUAGUGGGUAAAGAAGCGCCGACUAACUACGUG
rnacentral:rRNA from 1 species